UGGGAGGUCGUCUAGCGGUAGGACAUGCGGCUCUGAACCGCAUAACCCUGGUUCGAAUCCAGGCCUCCCAG
rnacentral:tRNA from 1 species